rnacentral:rRNA from 1 species
CUAGACUCCUACGGGAGGCAGCAGUGGGGAAUAUUGGGCAAUGGGCGCAAGCCUGACCCAGCAACGCCGCGUGGGUGAAGGAGCACCUCGGUGCGUAAAGCCCUAUCGGCAGGGAAGAAACAGACGGUACCUGACUAAGGAGCCCCGGCUAACUACGUGCCAGCAGCCGCGGUAAUACGUAGGGGGCAAGCGUUAUCCGGAUUCACUGGGUGUAAAGGGAGCGUAGACGGCGACGCAAGUCUGGAGUGAAAGCCCGGGGCCCAACCCCGGGACUGCUCUGGAAACUGCGGCGCUGGAGUGCGGGAGGGGCAGGCGGAAUUCCUGGUGUAGCGGUGAAAUGCGUAGAUAUCAGGAGGAACACCGGCGGCGAAGGCGGCCUGCUGGACCGUGACUGACGUUGAGGCUCGAGAGCGUGGGGAGCAAACAGGAUUAGAUACCCCAGUAAA